UUUUAUAUUAUUUUGAUAAAAAAUUAAAAUUUAUAUUAAAUUAAUAAAAAAAAUAAAUUGUAUUAGUAUAGCAAGGGGCUCUAAAAACGCCGACCUCUUGAAAAAUUAUUGCAUGCACCUGGUGGGGUAAAUCCGGAGCAAAUGAUAGCGCGCAAUCGGGAAUUGGGGGAACACAAGGAUAGCGUGGCGUAUUAUCCACCGUAGGAAUGGGGGAACACAAGGAUAGCGUGGCGUAUUAUCCACCGUAGGAUUUGACGUGGUGCAACUGCACCUGGUGCAUGCAAUUCAGGGGCCCUUGGCACCGCCCUGUCUCUGUCAUUCUUGUCCGGCGCCGGUGGGCUCCAAGAAAAGGAAAGCCAGAAACCAUGGAGUCGUUCUUCCUCCCCACUCUAAAACCCUAAACCUAAACCUAGUUCUUUCUUGAGUUCGAUCGUCAUCGAGAUAAUGGAGAAGGAGAUCGCUGUUCUCUCCAGUGUUGUCGUCAAUCACCUCUUCCUCGGCCAGUUCGAAGCGUUCCGGGCGUUGCUUCUCAGCCUCAAGAAGUGGAAGACGGAGGUCGCCCUAGAAGUUCUCCGGGCCAUAGUCUUACAAGGUGGGAGUAUCGAUAGCGUCCUUUAAUCGAGCACCUGUAUCUCUCCUUCGCAACUCGCAUGGCUGUCCGCCCUAGAGCUUCUCAAAUUCGACAAAAACUCGACCUCGAUCUGGAGAUUCGGUUCCGACAUUCUUUGCUUCAAGGUUGAGUUCCUUCUCUUAAUCCAACUCGUCGCAUCUAAAGUCUCAGAAAUCUGGAAGAAUCGGCCUCAGGAUCCGUACCUUGAUGACAAAGGGAAAAACCCUGAUGUACAUAUCGGCUCUGUAGAAAUCUUGAACAAGAUAUUAUGUUUGGGUGUUCGGAGGUUGCAGAGUGAUGUAGGGGGUGAUUCCGAGGUUCUUGAUGAAUGGGUUCCUGAGGAUGAAUUAAGGGGUCUGUGGUGGGUUUUUCUUGAUAACGCGGAGGCUUUUGAUGUGCUGUGUGGGAACAUUCAGAGGCAAGCCCACACAGCCGGACCCUACGAAUCAAAAUUGGUGAUCAGUGUCAGAACGGCAGCAAUGGGGAGCUUAGGUUCGACUCUUCUAGGAGGUGGAGGUUCUUGGUCACAUACAGCGGCGUGUUCAGAUGGUGCAUUUGGAUGUUCUGAAGGAAGCCGGUGAGAUAGAUGAUUUGGACGGAGCCUUUUCUCACCUUCGGUUUCUUCAUCAAGAUUAUGGUGUAGAAGAUACCAAGUAUGACAAUUCGUUGUAAUAUGACAUGGCUAUGAUACAGUGGAUAUGCAAAAUGAAUUUGACAUCAUAAUUUUCUUAAAGGUCUUGUUCCAUGUAGUUCUUGGGAUAAAAUGUCAAAAUGUGAUACAGCUUAUUAGCCUGCAGCCUUUUGCGUCAACUUCUGCAGCCUGGAAGAGAAUGCAGGAUAUUGAACUCAUUCACAUGCAGUAUGCUCCUGAGUCGGCUGUUUUUGCUAUAGGAGCUAUGGAGCAGAGUGUUAGCAAUGAAUUUGAUAACCAAUCUCAUAUAGCUAUAUCAUAUUUGAAAGACAUGCAAAAUCACAUGGAAGCUAUCAGUAAUGCUCCUCGCAAGAUACUCAUGAAUCAGGGUUAGCAUUGUAACUUCACUACUAUGGAUGGAUGAAAUAUCUGUUGAUUUGACACAAUCUGCCUCAUCCCAGAGUUAAUCCUUCUCUUGGGAGCAGCUUGAUCAUAGUACUUCACAUGAAACCAGAAGGUCGUAGCUUUUAUUGAGCUGCUACUUGCUAUAUUGCACUGCAAUCUGCCGGCAAUUGGCCCUUAAGUAGAGCAUAUGUUGAACGGUAAUCCGACAACUGCAGGUACACGGGCAUUAGAAUGGAGACUAUCUAAUGCUAAACAUUUUAUUGUAGACUGGGAAUGAUGCCUGUUCAUUUUGCAAUGACUUCAACAUUUAUCUGGACACCAAUGGAGUUGGAAGGGGGCCUUAGUUAUUUUGCAUGCUGCUCCUUCCAAGAUGUUAAAUCUGACAAAAUGAUGCCCGAUGAUUAUAAAGAACAACUGGCAGGACUUGCGGACAGUGGCCUUCUGAAUGGACAUUGUUUUGACUGCUGCUGAGAAAUGAAAACUGGAGCAGGUAUUGCUUCAGCUUUAGCUUGUGAAAUGCAAUCCUCCACACACAGACUGUACGUCUGCCUUGGAACCAUGUGCGAAUAGCUGGAGGAUGGAGUGAUUUCCACAUCCACCACUCUAGCAAUACAAAUAUUUGCUUUCAUUAUUGCUUGGAUAUCAGCACUGUCUGAGUUUCUAGUGAUCCUGUGAUGAAGAUCCUCACUUGAGUGACUUGGACUGCAUAUGUCUGAGACGGUCUAAUAAAAACUACCCUUUUUGGAAGCACAUUGACAGGUAGCUGACAGCCGAAGAUCCAAAAAAUAUGCCCACUCCUGGAUUUUAUUAUUGAAAAUCAGUUUCUGCUCAAAUUUACCUUUUUCUGAUGCAUUGUAUCUCCCUAUCCUUAUGGCAGAUUACUUGAGAUAUUAUAUGGUCUUCUUUAAUCCCUAAAUAAUUUACUAAUUAUGUUCCUGUACAUAUUAAUAUAUUUCUGUGAAGAAAUUUUAAAUUCAUAUUUCUUGUUUGUUCCAGAUAUUUCUGAUGAUGUUAUUUUUCUAUAUUCUUUGAGCAGUUGCAUGCAAAAGGCAAAGUAUGAUAUAGAGAAAGAAAGAUGUGCAUCGGCUUUCCUUGCCUGCUGAAGAUAAAGCAACACUUGAACUCACUAAAUGGGUGGCUGAUCUUUUUUUUUGGUACAAACGAGCGGUCACACUAAUCUAGUGCAAGAGCAGUCCAAUAGGUCAAGAUACAGAAAAUCCCGUAGAGCCUGUGGGCAAACCUCGCCCUGCCUCCAUAGCCGGACACCAGAUUGCUCAGUAACAAAAGUCACCACCCAAUCUGCUGUCGUGUUCGUCUCGCUAUAAACAUGUCGGACUCUCACAGCAGCAGCUUGACGGAGGGAGACCCUGAUAUUCCGGAGAAGCGGAUGACCAUCAAGCUGCCUGGCCUCCCUCUAGAUCCACGAAAUGAUAAUAGCAGAGUCACCCUCUAGGACAAUUCACUCCGCAUGAAGCUGCUGCCUAGCAAAGGUGACACCUGGCAAAGCAGCAUGAAGCUCUGCAGUUGGAACCGAAAGCUCAAAAAGGUGGGAACCACUAGCUGCUAAGAGUCUUCCAUCCGAGCUAUAGAUAAUAAAGCCAGCUUCGCUCCCGUCCAUUCGAACACUGCCAUCGAAGUUCACCUUGACAAACCUCGGGGGUGGGGGUUCUCAUGAAAUGGAAAGAACCUUAUGGGUCACUGUCGGGGCAGCCAAGGAGCUACAGAGAUCGGGGAUGUCAAGGGACGAAGUGGCAGUAUCAAACUGAUAGUAUUCCUGAGCUAAACAGACAGCUUACUCCAGUACUUGAUGAUCAGGAAUCACCUCACCGUCGAAGACAAGGCUGUUCCUGGGCAGCCAGAUCUAGUAGGUAAUAUAUGCCAGCCGUCCUCCAGCAAUAAACGUCCUAUCAGCAACACUCUGACGGAUCAAACUAAGGAAGGAUGCCAACCAAGGGUCAGGACUCCUCUCCCAAGGGUAAUCGCCCACCCAUCUCCAAAUCGCCCUUGCCCUAGGACAGCGCAGGACAGCAUGCUCCGCAGACUCAUCCUUCAUCCCACAAAUCGGGCACAAAGUUGGAACCUCCAUGCCCAAGCAAGCUUCCAAAGAAAAGUCCGCACCCGAGGAUGAGCAGUGGCUCUCCAAAUCCAGGCGGCCUCAAUCUGUCUGGAAGGCAGCAGGGUGUAUAAACGGGAGGAGGAAACCUUCGAGCAGGAGCAAUAUUGAUGCUUUCAGCAGCGCAUCGAUAUUGUUGCACUUUGUCCUUUGUUGAUGACUAUUCAAUAAAUGCUUCACUAAAUAAAAAAUUUACUGGGCUUUUGAGUACAGUUUCACUAUUAUGGAGGAUCUUAUGAUACUUUCACAAAGUAGCUCGGUUCAAUUGAAUUAGAGUUCAGAAGAGAUGAUGGUCAAAAGAAAGCAUAAAAAAAAGUUAGUGAAAGUUGGGUUUUGGCUUUUUGGCCUAUCUGUUUUGUCCUGCUCAUGUUGGAUUGUGCUCUUGCUUCUUGUAGAACCUUUGCAUGGGAUAGACAUAUACAUGCGUGUUUGGAAAAUUAACAAAGGAUAGAAUAAUAGACUGGAUAAAAACUUAAAAAUGGUGAAAAGAGAUGAAGUAGAACCAAUUCAAUAGAAUGGUCUUCUGAAUAUAUGAAGACCAAAUUAAAACCUGCUAGAAGAGGGUUGGAAUCCUUGUGGCAGGGCUAGACCUGUGGUUGAGAACCUUCUUUAGACUAGCUGUUGUGAGUCCUGUAACUAAAAAUUUAGUGCUUGACUGGAACAGUUGUGGUUGAGGAGGGGCAGGAAUCAGGAUGCUAUGCAAUUUGCUGCUACUGCCAGAAGUAGUAAAGAUCUAAGGCAUCUACGUCAUAUUGCUGCUCCAUGCAUCACAAGAUGCUGUACCACUGUUAGCUUAAGUGCGUGUAUUUCAGUCCAUAUGUUCUUAUUAUGCUGGCUUUGUUUUGGAGAUGUUGACUUCAGAUGAUUGGGCUAACUUUUCACUGUUUUGCUACAGAAAGUAACUUGUCUAACAGUUCUUUCCAGAUGGAAGAUGCAGUAUAUUGUGUUGCAGAGGGAACUCUAAAUCCCACCCUGGAGUUGGAUAUCCCAUCCUUUCAUAGUCAAUUAGGUCCUUUAGGAAAGUCCUCACCUGUGGUCUGUGGUCAUCUAAAGAGUGCUUUCCAGAUAGCAUCCCAAAGUGGAAGUGUGGCUGAUGUUCCAUAUGUGGCCCAUCAGGUUACCAUAUUUUCAGUAAAUAAUAGUCAUCCAAAGGUUGCCACCAAAACUUACAGGACUUAAUAAACGCCAUAUCCAUUCUUGGAACUGAAUAAAUGCCACAUCAACAAACAGUCAUUAGCAGCCCUAGCUGAUGGAUCAACUACCUGGUUUAGGCAACCUAUAUUGAUGCUGUAGUGUUUUUGGUGAGUAAUCAGGGUUCUUCUGCAGCUUCUGCUUUCACCCUUCUAACGGGGAGUUGGUCAAUUGGUUUAACAAUUCCUUUUUGAGACUGGUGCUAUACUUCCAGAUCAGAUCUCUCUCCAGUCCCCGAUGAUCCAUAUAUCCAUUCCCAUAUCCUGCAACUUCAAGCCAUGCACAGCCCUCGUCCAUCUCGAUCUUAUUGAUCAGUAUGCAUAUUUAUCUUCUAGCCUGGAAGCUGUGGUUGUUAUCUGUCAAGCUGCAGGGUCCCAGUUAAAUGAUACUUGUUACACACACCUCAAGUAAGCCGUAACACGAGAACUGUGAAGCCGAAAAAUCUUUUACUUGUUCAUCUAUUUAAACUGAUUCGCUACAACCAUGUUUUGAUCAACAUGUGGCUGGACUGUUGGUCAAUUAAAGUCUAGAAAAGGUCUAUUUUAUUCAUAUGCGCACGUAUCUCAGCAACGUUUUGGCUAGAAAUAUAUCCAAAAGCAAAAGGUGAUAUGCUGUGGCUGCUAGUUAUCCGCUCCUCCAUUUGGCAGCUUGACAGUUGACCCUAUCUGAGCCGCCAGACUGAUAGGUUCAGAUAGAUGGCUAGUUCAUUAUUUAUGGACUGGGCCUUGCAGGUGAAAUACACUGCCACUGGUAAUGGGAGUGAGGCUCCUUCUUCAGUUUUCUAGAUCUACUUUUCUUAGUUCUCAAAAUAAAUCUGCUUUGGGUUGUGACUACUCAGGUAGGUUAGCCACCUCUUUGCAAAGGCAAUAGACAGCCUACAGCAACC